rnacentral:rRNA from 1 species
AGCAGCCGCGGUAAUUCCAGCUCCAAUAGCGUAUAUUAAAGUUGUUGCAGUUAAAAGCUGUAGUUGAAUUUCGAGACCGGUUUACUGGUCGUGCUUUUGUACGUACUGGUAUAAUCGGUUCUCUCUUCUGACGAACUAUAAUGCCAUUAAUUUGGUGUUUUAGGGAAUCAGGACUGUACUUUGAAAAAAUUGAGUGUUUAAAGCAGGCU